rnacentral:rRNA from 1 species
AUGAGCUUAGCGCUUCUAGGGGGCUACUCCUCCGCCGAGGACGACGACCCCGCCGCCGGCGCCGGCGCCGAGCUGAGCGACUCCGGCGACUCAUCAGCCGAAGAGGCCGGAUCUGACGGAGACGAGAAGUCCGCUCCGUCGAAGCCGGCUGCGAAGCCCCGCCCCCGCGUAAACCCUAGCCCCGGAGAUGGGGACUCCUCGCUGCCCUCGGCGCUAGAUGUCUUCGCCGAGAUCUCCGGGCCCCCGGCUUUCCUCAACCGCAGAGUGGCCCAGCCCGAGGAGGUCGGGGAGGCGCUCGGCGUGCUCGAUCGCCGCUCCAACUCCAAGAGGAGAAAGCCGCCACCUCCCGGUGCGGUUGUGGCGGCGAAGCCACAGAUGGUUGCCAUCCGUGAACGAGUUAGCAGUGACGUGAAGAAUGGUGCCAAUCCUCCAGUUGCGGUUGUGUCGGCGAAACCACAGUUGGUUGCUGGUCACGAACGAGUUAGCAGUGACAUGAAGAAUGGUGCCAACCCUCCAGGUUCUGUUGAAGGAAAGAGGAAAAUAGGCGCUGCAAAUCCUGGUCCAGAAGAUGCUGCCGAGCUUCUAAGAAUGUGCCUCCAGUGUGGUAUACCAAAGACCUAUUCACAUGCGCAAGGAAUGGUAUGCCCUGUUUGCAACGACAGACCGGUGCAGGCUAAAGAGCCAGAGAAGAAGAAGGGUUCUGCUGUAAAAGACAAGGAGAAAGUGAAGAGGAUGAGAGGGCAAUCGUCACAUGCAUCGUGGAAGAGCGAAACUGAGAUGGCCCUGCGCCAACAAUUUGACUGA